rnacentral:rRNA from 1 species
AUUGAACGCUGGCGGAAUGCUUUACACAUGCAAGUCGAACGGCAGCACGGGGGCAACCCUGGUGGCGAGUGGCGAACGGGUGAGUAAUACAUCGGAACAUGCCCGGUCGUGGGGGAUAACGUAGCGAAAGUUACGCUAAUACCGCAUACGAUCUGAGGAUGAAAGCGGGGGACCUUCGGGCCUCGCGCGAUCGGAGCGGCCGAUGUCAGAUUAGGUAGUUGGUGGGGUAAAGGCCUACCAAGCCGACGAUCUGUAGCUGGUCUGAGAGGACGACCAGCCACACUGGGACUGAGACACGGCCCAGACUCCUACGGGAGGCAGCAGUGGGGAAUUUUGGACAAUGGGCGCAAGCCUGAUCCAGCCAUUCCGCGUGCAGGACGAAGGCCUUCGGGUUGUAAACUGCUUUUGUAUGGAACGAAAAGGCUCUGGCUAAUACCUGGGGCUCAUGACGGUACCGUAAGAAUAAGCACCGGCUAACUACGUG